AUGAACGCUGGCGGCGUGCCUCAUACAUGCAAGUCGAGCGCACAGACGAGGAGCUUGCUCCUCUGAUGUUAGCGGCGGACGGGUGAGUAACACGUGGAUAACCUACCUAUAAGACUGGGAUAACUUCGGGAAACCGGAGCUAAUACCGGAUAACAUGUUGAACCGCAUGGUUCAACAGUGAAAGACGGUCUUGCUGUCACUUAUAGAUGGAUCCGCGCCGCAUUAGCUAGUUGGUAAGGUAACGGCUUACCAAGGCAACGAUGCGUAGCCGACCUGAGAGGGUGAUCGGCCACACUGGAACUGAGACACGGUCCAGACUCCUACGGGAGGCAGCAGUAGGGAAUCUUCCGCAAUGGGCGAAAGCCUGACGGAGCAACGCCGCGUGAGUGAAGAAGGUCUUCGGAUCGUAAAACUCUGUUAUUAGGGAAGAACAAAUGUGUAAGUAACUAUGCACGUCUUGACGGUACCUAAUCAGAAAGCCACGGCUAACUACGUG
rnacentral:rRNA from 1 species